rnacentral:rRNA from 1 species
UACGAAGGGGGCUAGCGUUGUCCGGAAUUAUUGGGCGUAAAGCGCGCGCAGGCGGUCCUUUAAGUCUGAUGUGAAAGCCCACGGCUCAACCGUGGAUGGUCAUUGGAAACUGGGGGACUUGAGUACAGAAGAGGAAAGCGGAAUUCCACGUGUAGCGGUGAAUGCGUAGAGAUGUGGAGGAACACCAGUGGCGAAGGCGGCUUUCUGGUCUGUAACUGACGCUGAGGCGCGAAAGCGUGGGGAGCAAACAGG